rnacentral:rRNA from 1 species
UGUGUUAGUGGAACGGUCUGGAAAGUCCGACGGUACAGGGUGAUAGUCCCGUACACCAAAAUGCACAGGCUGUGAACUCGAAGAGUAGGGCGGGACACGUGGUAUCCUGUCUGAAUAUGGGGGGACCAUCCUCCAAGGCUAAAUACUCCUGACUGACCGAUAGUGAACCAGUACCGUGAGGGAAAGGCGAAAAGAACCCCGGCGAGGGGAGUGAAAAAGAACCUGAAACCGUGUACGUACAAGCAGUGGGAGCACCUUCGGGUGUGACUGCGUACCUUUUGUAUAAUGGGUCAGCGACUUAUAUUCUGUAGCAAGGUUAACCGUAUAGGGGAGCCGCAGGGAAACCGAGUCUUAACUGGGCGUUAAGUUGCAGGGUAUAGACCCGAAACCCGGUGAUCUAGCCAUGGGCAGGUUGAAGGUUGGGUAACACUAACUGGAGGACCGAACCGACUAAUGUUGAAAAAUUAGCGGAUGACUUGUGGCUGGGGGUGAAAGGCCAAUCAAACCGGGAGAUAGCUGGUUCUCCCCGAAAGCU